UGGGAUCUUCACUUACGGUCUUUGUCAGGCCAUGUGGAUCUCUCCAGUAUAUAUUUGGUUGGAAAGCUAAAGAAUCAGCAGCUUGUAUCUGAGUUACCCGGAAGCCUGAUUGAGCUCACCUUGUCAGCAUCUGGACUGGUAGAGGACCCAAUGCAAACAUUGGACAAACUUCCCAACCUCAGAAUUCUGAGACUGUUCUCAAGAUCCUUUAUGGGCAAGAAAAUGCUUUGCUGUUUUGGAGGAUUUCCUAAGCUUGAAGUC
rnacentral:misc_RNA from 1 species